AGAGUUUGAUCAUGGCUCAGGACGAACGCUGGCGGCGUGCCUAAUACAUGCAAGUCGAGCGGGUUUACCCUUCGGGGUAAGCUAGCGGCGGACGGGUGAGUAACACGUAGGUAACCUGCCUUCAAGACUGGGAUAACUAUCGGAAACGAUAGCUAAGACCGGAUAGCUGGUUUUCUCGCAUGAGAGAAUCAUGAAACACGGAGCAAUCUGUGGCUUGAAGAUGGGCCUGCGGCGCAUUAGCUAGUUGGUGAGGUAACGGCUCACCAAGGCGACGAUGCGUAGCCGACCUGAGAGGGUGAACGGCCACACUGGGACUGAGACACGGCCCAGGCUCCUACGGGAGGCAGCAGUAGGGAAUCUUCCGCAAUGGACGCAAGUCUGACGGAGCAACGCCGCGUGAGUGAUGAAGGUUUUCGGAUCGUAAAGCUCUGUUGCCCUAGACGAACAGCAGGGAGAGUAACUGCUCUCUGUGUGACGGUAUAGAGAAGAAGCC
rnacentral:rRNA from 1 species